GGCCUAUCCAUAUGAAAGUGUAUUGAAUUGAGAAAAAACAUAGUAAAUAAAAUAGAAAUAGAUAAAGAAAUGGUGGGUUCCAUCGUUUCUAUGAUUACUUUUUUAA